UCAAGGCAUCGCGUCUGGUAUGGUCUGUGGUUUAGAUCAAUAAUUUUUGCAAAUUAGUCGUACAUAUUUGUAAUUUGGAUUUGUUGAACUUGUAAUACAUAACAGUGCUCGUGCUCCAUAAAAAAUAGAAAUUCGUAUAAUGCGCUGUGAAUUCUCAGCUUAUCUCCGAGAAUAUUAUUGAAAUAAAAGUGUUUUAUAGUUUUGAACUUGGUGAAAAUGAGUCAACCUCGUAUGGAGAAUAUGUGUCCCACGACGCACUUACGGGUGAUGUUGCCUAAUUCAAUGGAAACAAAUAUGCCUCCAACUUACAUUGAUAUCAAUAACAUGGAUAUCCCCCCGCCUCAGCCAGAUUUCUCGGCUCCCCCACCAUAUGAUGUGGCUGCCAAUUCUAAGCUGCCUACAUAUGAGGAGGUCCAACGUGAGAAACAAAUGGAAGGGGAGGGACCUCAACUACCUCCAGCAGCUCAUCCCACUAUUGCAGCGUUCGUUACGGUCGAGCCGAGAGAGGCCACCGCUGAACAGUUAGAUCCCGAGAACAACUUGCUUGGCACCGAUAUCAUGUUCCUGACAUCGUUUUUCGUGGCAUUCCUAUUCAACUGGAUCGGGUUCCUCCUGCUGAUGUGCUUCUGCCACACGGUCGCGAGCCGCUACGGCGCGCUCGCCGGCUUCGGCCUCUCGCUCGCCAAAUGGACGCUCAUAGUGAAGCAUUCCACUGAACUCGCCUCGCACGAGAACUCGUGGUUGUGGUGGCUUAUUAUGGCAUUCGGAAUUCUCAUCUGCGUGCGCGCUAUUAUCCAGUACUUGAAUAUAAAACGCGGAUGGCGUCUGCUCUCCGGCACGGCCCAAGAGCGACUGCUGUUCUUCUAUUGAAAUGCACGUUUUGUCUCGCUCGCACUCGCACGUACACCGUGAAUGCGUGAAAGAGAUGAAACAUUAUCACAUAUUUCAGCGGUGUCAGAAAACAUCAUCACUGAAAAUUACAACUGUCUCACUACCACGAACACACACAGACAGAUGGACAAGCAAAGUCUUAAAGUAACUGAUUCCCGUUUAACGCCUGUGGAUAGCGAAUCCCAAAAGGCUAUAUUUAAAUAUUUCAUAUUUCGUGGAUUUAACUUUUUUAUCUUUAAUUAUGUGUUUAAAAUCAACAGUCCGUUGAGUAUAGCUUGUUAAAUGCACAAAUCUUAAUUUAAUAAUAUAUAAAUCUGAUAAUGUCCCAACUAUAAAAUAAGUAAAAAUAUAUAUAAGGAGACAGCCAGCGGUUUCAUGUAUGUGCACCAAAAAUUGUUACUUUUAUAGUAAUAACGUCCAAAUAUUUAUAAUUUAAGUGCAAUAAAAUUUCUAGUGUUCCUUGUGUUUUAAAUAAAUUUUACUUAGUUUAUUAUUUUUUUUAUUGUUUUGUACGUACGUGGUUUUUGUGUAUUCAGUGAUCGGUAGGUUUAAUACCAUUUGUCAUUCGUGUAAUAUGCAAUAAUUAUUUGAAAUUUUCACUAUUUUAUAGUGAAUAAAGUAAAAUAUAUCUAAAUUAUUUAACCUAUUAUAUUUUUUAUGUAAGUUCAUGGAAGUUAGAAUGAUAUACGAAUUUUUUUAUUGUAUCAUAUGAAACGCCUAAGCUCUGCCUUCGUCCCAAUAUUUUUUUAUGUUAUUUUGCUUUACCGCUACCCAGGAAAAUUAUAUUUCUCUUUUAUAUUAUCAAAUAUUGGAAAUAAAUUCGUGAAAGUAUAACAUUGGCUAAAGCCAUUCGAGGCUCUAUUUUUUUUUUGUUUAAAUAAGGAGAUUUUUUCGAUGUUAUUGAUGUGUAAUUAACAUUAAAAAGACAUAAUGUAUCGGUGAUAUAAAAGAGACGUUAUUUCAAUUAAAUUUCUUUACGAGUCUGAUGAAGGUGAAUGUUUCGUGACCAUCUCAAAUUAUCUAAUUAUGAUAUAGUUUAGCGCUUAAUAUAUCUCGUAUUGUAACAUAAGAUCUAGAUUUAGCACAAAAUGUGGAUGUUAGUACUUCCUCACGCAGACGCGUGGUUAAUGCUUAGUAUUUAAGUGAUUUUUCUUUUAAAUCUAAAGCUUACAUUGUCUUAUUAUUUUGAUAUUUCUAUCUGUUUAAAAUAUAAUGUAUGUCCUAAAACUAGUUACUGCUUUAUUAUAUAAUUAUAGGUUGCAUCUACAUGAUUAAUUCGAAUAUUGUAACAAAUGUUUACAAUAAUAAAAAGUUUAUAAAUAUGAAUAAUUACUUAAUGUCAUAUGAAAUUUUGUGAAACUGCGAGAUGUGUGUGGUAUUGAGUUUUUAUUUUCCAACAAUGUAAGUCUUUAGGUUAGUGUGAAGUACAUGCUGUGAUGAGAGUUUGCGAAAUUUCUAUAAUAUUUUGCCGUCUGUAAUAUUAUUUUAUAUAAAUACAGGUCGUACUUGACUGGAAAUAAAUUUAAAUUAUAA
rnacentral:misc_RNA from 1 species